ACGCACGCUGGCGGCGUGCUUAACACAUGCAAGUCGAACGGAAAGGCCCUGCUUUUGUGGGGUGCUCGAGUGGCGAACGGGUGAGUAACACGUGAGUAACCUGCCCUUGACUUUGGGAUAACUUCAGGAAACUGGGGCUAAUGCCGGAUAGGAGCUCCUGCUGCAUGGUGGGGGUUGGAAAGUUUCGGCGGUUGGGGAUGGACUCGCGGCUUAUCAGCUUGUUGGUGGGGUAGUGGCUUACCAAGGCUUUGACGGGUAGCCGGCCUGAGAGGGUGACCGGCCACAUUGGGACUGAGAUACGGCCCAGACUCCUACGGGAGGCAGCAGUGGGGAAUAUUGCACAAUGGGCGGAAGCCUGAUGCAGCAACGCCGCGUGCGGGAUGACGGCCUUCGGGUUGUAAACCGCUUUCGCCUGUGACGAAGCGUGAGUGACGGUAAUGGGUAAAGAAGCACCGGCUAACUACGUG
rnacentral:rRNA from 1 species